CAAGACCAUUCUUACACUGCUCGGGGGAGCCCCUCAGGAGAAGACACAUUUAAGAGUUUCCAGCAAGAAGAGUCAGGUCAUGCAGUCAGCUGCUUUCUCAGCCCAGCUGUGGGAAUGUAAACAAGUUUCUAACCUCAUUGAAUCUUAGGUUCCCUGUUUGAAAACAGAUGAGAUCCACAACAGCCAUUAUUUUAUUGGAUGGUUGUUGUAUGGCAGGGGCUGUACUGAAGAGUCACGCACAUUACUUAGUCUUCCCAACAAUCCUGCAAGAUAUAGAAUCUUGACAUGUUUCUGAGGCUGGUCUGAAACUCCUGGGGCUCAAGCGAUCCACCUGACUCCACCUCUCAAAGUGCUGAGAUUACAGGGUCUAUGGUUCAUCCUGCAAUAUCAGAGAAUACACAACUGUUGGAAGCUCAUUUGUGCAGAAGCACUAGUUAGACCAAGUCCCAGGAUGGUGGGGACUUGAACUGCCUCAUGCACAUUGUACCCAAGAGCCUGGCCCAUGAAGGUAAAUCAGUGGAUACUUGAAUAAAAAGAAGAAUAUGUG
rnacentral:lncRNA from 1 species